CCCUUAGAUGUUCUGGGCCGCACGCGCGCUACACUGACGAAUGCAACGAGCUUAUAACCUUGGCCGAAAGGUCUGGGUAAUCUCCAAAUUUCGUCGUGAUGGGGAUAGAUUAUUGCAAUUAUUAAUCUUCAACGAGGAAUGCCUAGUAGGCGCAAGUCAUCAGCUUGCGUCGAUUACGUCCCUGCCCUUUGUACACACCGCCCGUCGCUCCUACCGAUUGGGUGUGCUGGUGAAAUGUUCGGAUCGGCCGUUUGUCGCGGUUUCCGCGUCAUGUGGCUGAGAAGUUCAUUAAACCCUCCCACCUAGAGGAAGGAGAAGUCGUAACA
rnacentral:rRNA from 1 species